GACGAACGCUGGCGGCGUGCUUAACACAUGCAAGUCGAACGGAAAGGCCCUGCUUUUGUGGGGUGCUCGAGUGGCGAACGGGUGAGUAACACGUGAGUAACCUGCCUUUGACUUUGGGAUAAUUUCAGGAAACUGGGGUUAAUACUGGAUAGGAGCUCCUGCUGCAUGGUGGGGGUUGGAAAGUUUCGGUGGUUGGGGAUGGACUCGCGGCUUAUCAGCUUGUUGGUGGGGUAGUGGCUUACCAAGGCUUUGACGGGUAGCCGGCCUGAGAGGGUGACCGGCCACAUUGGGACAGAGAUACGGCCCGGACUCCUAAGGGAGGCAGCAGUGGGGAAUAUUGCACGAUGGGCGGAAGCCUGAUGCAGCAACGCCGCGUGCGGGAUGACGGCCUUCGGGUGGAAAACCGCUUUCGCCUGUGACGAAGCGUGAGUGACGGUAAUGGGUAAAGAAGCACCGGCUAACUACGUG
rnacentral:rRNA from 1 species